AUGGGGGAAGGAAGACAGAUCAUGUGGGGCCUUGGAAGCCACCAUAAGGACUUCAGCUUUUGCUCUGGGAGAAAAGGGGAGCCCCUGGCAGGUUUGGGGGCAAGACAAGAUCGGCCAGGAGAACUCAUUCCAGUCCUGGCACUGCCAGGCACCUGCCAUGACACUUGGACAAAUCAGGCAGACAAUACACAUCACAUAGCCGAAGCAUGUCAGAGUGGGAAGAAGGGCUCACUACUGUAGCCCACUCAUUUCACAGACGAGAACCUGGAAGUUACUGGAGACUCUAUAAAACUCGCCUCGUCAGUGACUUUGGGAACGCAAAGUGCAGUGCUGUCAUUCUGUGGCUUGGGUUUGGGACCUGCCUUCCUGCUGUGCUCCGUCUCGGCCUCCACCAUCCCUGUCCCUGGCACCACCACCCCCCACCCUGAGGGCGCCCAGACCCUUCCUUUUUGGCUCCAGCAUGAAGGCAGCAGAGUAGGAGGAAAGACUGGACUCCAGCAGAGAAAGUGGGGGCUGGCGGGGAGGGAGAGAGAAAGAAGAAGAAAAGAAAGGCUACAGACCAAUGAAAAUCGCCCUGUGCACACAGAGUGGGAGUGAUCACCUUGAUUACACCACUUCUACAGACAAUUCACGAUUCAGAAGUGCUUCAACCAAGGCAGCCACCUUGGGAGACUACCAUGAAUUUGGAUCUCUGUGUUGCAGCAUGCUUAGGUAGGAAGGAAGAAGCUCUUUAACUCAAACAUAUUCUAACUACUUAGUCUCUUAGAGCUCCCCCCCUUCUCUUAAUGGAAAGUACAUUUCUCCCCUAGAGGCUUCUAUUCAACUGUAGCUGCAAAAGAAUGAGUUCUGGACUCAGGACCAGCCUAAUGAUGCCUAUUAAUGAGUCUAGCUAUAAUUCCAGGCCAGGUAAGGAAAGUUCUUGAAGCUGUGAAAUGAUAGGAUAGGAGAGAAAGUGGUGGAAAUUUCAGUGCAAGGUUAGGUUGUGUGUCCUAAAAGCAAAGUUUUUAAAGAAAGCAUGCCUAGCAUAAGAUUGGGUGUGAGGGAGAAGCUAGUGCUUACAGGGCGGCAGCUCAGAAAACAAAACACAGAAUUCAAAUUUGAAAUGGUCAAUUUUAUUUGUGCACUAGCAACUCAAAGUUCUAUUUAAAGAUUUUUUUUAAAAAAGAUUGUAUUUAUUUAUCCAUGAGACACACACACACACACACACAGAGAGAGAGAGAGAGAGAGAGAGGGAGAGACA
rnacentral:lncRNA from 12 species